AAAGGGAGACCUAAUUCGGGUAUAAGACGAAAAAAUAGUAGUCGAAACCAAGAAUCAAUCCCAAAAGGUCGGAACGAGGUAUGUGGCUUUCAAACUAGGUUCUGGGUUCAUAAAAGACCUGAAUCAGGAACAAGGGCUAUUAGCUCAGGUGGUUAGAGCGCACCCCUGAUAAGGGUGAGGUCCCUGGUUCGAGUCCAGGAUGGCCCACCUGCACAGGUGGCAAAAACAAAGAAAAGAAGCGAGGAAUCAGCACCUUAUCUUACUUAUAUAGUAAGAGAGAAUGCUGGCUCUGAGUACAGAGUCCGGAGGAACCUUGAAAACUGCAUAGAGCUAGGUGAAAAAGCCAAAAAAGAAGACCGCAAG
rnacentral:tRNA from 1 species